UCCUACGGGAGGCAGCAGUGGGGAAUAUUGGACAAUGGGCGAAAGCCUGAUCCAGCCAUGCCGCGUGUGUGAAGAAGGUCUUCGGAUUGUAAAGCACUUUAAGUUGGGAGGAAGGGCAGUUACCUAAUACGUGAUUGUUUUGACGUUACCGACAGAAUAAGCACCGGCUAACUCUGUGCCAGCAGCCGCGGUAAUU
rnacentral:rRNA from 1 species